CGGCAACAGCUCAAAUUUGAAAUCUGGCCUCGGCCCGAGUUGUAAUUUGCAGAGGAUGCUUCUGGCGCGGUGCCUUCCGAGUUCCCUGGAACGGGACGCCACAGAGGGUGAGAGCCCCGUAUGGUCGGACACCAAGCCUGUGUGAAGCUCCUUCGAC
rnacentral:rRNA from 1 species